GGCCGCGUGGCUCAAUUGGCAGAGUAUCUGACUUCGAUCCGAAGUUUCAUCAGAAGGCUGCAGGUUCGAUCCCUGCCGCGGUCA